rnacentral:lncRNA from 1 species
AGCGCUCAGCCACGCAAGGCAGGAAAACAGAGGAAGUUUUCGCAUUCUGACUGCAGCCUGAGUUCCCCGGAGCAAGGCUGCUUCUCUCCACCCACUCCUCACCAAGAACUCCUGAACUUGAGAGUGGACGACUUCAAAGCUAGCUCUCACAGACUCACCUGGAAAAGAGUUCAGCUGCGCGUUCAUUGAACCGAGAGGCCAGAUCACCUAUGUGAGGCGGUGGGAACCAUAUGGAGAUUUAUAUUAGAACUUCAGCAAAGUGCACAGCUGCAGCCGGCAGAAGCCAGCUCUCGGGCUGACAGGCAAAUGAACCAGAUCGUGGACGGGGCCUCUGGGUGGCAGCUCCGGCCUUUUGGUUGUUGGACAACUAUAGUCAGAACUGAAAUGGAACAGGGGCAGGAGAAAUAACACACUUUUACUCCACGCAACUGUUGCUUUCACAUGAUCUUCAGGAAUGUAACUGGGAUAAUUGUCCAAAUUGAAUCCCAUACCCUGUCAUGGUACUGAUUAUUAAGGUGACUAUAUGAAAGGAUCACUCCAAAAUAACACAUACCAGAAUAGGAGUCCUGUCUUAACUGAGCAAUAUACACUAUGGAGAGAUCCUUCAAAACCCGUCGGGACGAAUAACAGAUGAAUUCAUAAAACUGUUCAUCUCUGUUAUCCUGAAUGGUCACUCAGACAACAUUUUACUCAACUAUAAAGGGGAACACUUAAAGUGCAUAUGAGAAGAGAAGAGAAUGACCACAGGAGAAAAUCAUCUCAGGCCACGAUUUCCUAACCAGAAUCUGUAAGAGAGAUUCCAAGAACUUGGUAAGAGAUAGGAACACAGUGGGGCCUAAACAGAGGACAGUUUCUGUAAUCACUUGUAAUAUCUAUAAUGUUAUACUAGAUGAAUGGAAAUAUGAGCAUUGUUGAAAGGUGUAAUGUUUCAAAGUUUUACAAAUGAAUUUUAUAUUAAAAUAUAAGCUAUAUUGACAAAAUAUGUGAUUAUACUGUAUAUGAAGAGUAAAAUAAAACAAAAGGUACAACAACAUUUUUGUUUUAAGUGGGAUAGAAAGGUGUGUGGUUCAUGCCUCAGAUGGCUAUACAAAUACAAAAAAUUUAGACACCUCUCACAGAAAUAUAAAUGGAGCUAUAAAUAAAUAUGAAA